rnacentral:rRNA from 1 species
GACGAACGCUGGCGGCGUGCUUAACACAUGCAAGUCGAACGGAAAGGCCCUGCUUUUGUGGGGUGCUCGAGUGGCGAACGGGUGAGUCACACGUGAGUAACCUGCCCUUGACUUUGGGAUAACUUCAGGAAACUGGGGCUAAUACCGGAUAGGAGCUCCUGCUGCAUGGUGGGGGUUGGAAAGUUUCGGCGGUUGGGGAUGGACUCGCGGCUUAUCAGCUUGUUGGUGGGGUAGUGGCUUACCAAGGCUUUGACGGGUAGCCGGCCUGAGAGGGUGACCGGCGACAGUGGGACUGAGAUACGGCACAGACUGCUACGGGAGGCAGCAGUGGGGAAGAGUGCACAAUGGGCGGAAGCCUGAUGCAGCAACGCCGCGUGCGGGAUGACGGCCUUCGGGUUGUAAACCGCUGUCGCCUGUGACGAAGCGUGAGUGACGGUAAUGGGUAAAGAAGCACCGGCUAACUACGUG